GUGGGCAGAGCGAGCCUCUCCCGCCGCCGGCUCCGCUCGCCUCCCUCCCCGGCACUUGCGCGGGAUCCGGCGGGCCAGGCGGGAGCUCCGGGGAUGGGCGCCGGACAUGGAGACUUUCUCCGAGAGUGAAGUCCUGUUGAGCUUGGGUUCGGUGAUUGAGACCUCCAGCCUCCGGGAAGUCAUCAAGGACGCCAUCGCUUCCGUGCUGCCCAAAGUGGAAAGAGUGUUUGUAUACCUCCUGGAUGAGGAAGCUCGUCUGACCUGCAGCGAUCCACCCCAUGACUUCCCGCAGGAGGGCCGACUCAGGUGAGUGCUUCCCAAGGACCUGGGCUAGGCAGAUGUGGACGUUUGAUUGUGUUGCAG